UGGCCCCUUUCUCCAACCUUGGUGGGACAGUUUCUGCGUUGUAUUAGGUGAGAGACGGGAACGGGGAGACAUAUCAGACAGAAGAGAGCAGCGGUGGCGGAGACACUGACAGAUUUGACAUCCGCAGCAGCACGGACGGUGUGGACUAGCGGAACCUUGAGCAAGGUGCCACUUGGCUGAGUGGAAGGACGGAAGCCAUACGUGUACACAUAUCUACGUAUUCACUGUGAGCCGCCUAAAUACUUGCGCAGGAAGCGUUGCAACCUGAAGCGCCUGAGGGGAUCCAGACUGUGCGCCUAUGCUGAUUCGCAUUGAGCGCUCGACAUCUUCUCAUUCUCGUUGAAGACACUCUUGCGCUAUCCUCUUCCCUCUCUUUGCGUGCUGUGCCGGUGCGCUGCUCGCCGUCUGUCUGUCUGUCGUGUGCGUGUGGGCAUAUUGCCCGUGUACGGAGCCUACACAUACGUACACACACGUACAUGCGCCACCUCCUCUACUUCGUCUGUAUUACGUUCUCGCGUCUCUCUUUAUUUUCGCUUGUGUUCUCUUGGUGGAGAGAGACCGACCGACUGAGUGCCACGAUCUCGCACCGAGACGCGGCAUCCAGUGGCUUGCUUCCGUUGUUCUCCUCAUUGCACGCGGCUGGUGGCGGCGCAAGUCGGAAGUCCCCCGCCUCCCUCCUGUCUCUCUUGCUUUUUCCUGUUUCUUCUGUGCUCUUCUCUUCGCUCUCCUGCCGGAGCGUUCUUGGACUUCUCGGCUGCCCUUCCUCGCCGUUGCUGUGGACUCUGGCCCGUAGAUUCCCGGUGUAUCUGUGCCCGUCGACGCUCACAUACGUGGGCUGCCUUGUCUUGGUGGAAGGUCGGGGUGUCUGUGCCCGAGCGCGCCGUUCUCUUUGCCGCCUUUCCUCGCCCCUCCCCCUCCCCCGUCCUUCUCUCUGUGGUUUCACUGCUUUGCGCGUGUGCGGUGCCUCGCGUCGUCUCUUCUCUCACUCUCUCGUGAGCUCACAUCCACGUCUAUUUCUCUACACGGGCAUUUAUAGCGGGGCUCUCUCUCUCUCUUGAUUUACAUCUAUAUACGUAAUAGCGGUAUAUAUAUAUAUAUUGUGUGUGUGUGUGUGGUUAUUGGAGUGGAUUGGAUUCGUGUGCGUGUGUGUGGGCGGAAAGGGGGAGGGAGGGCAUAGGCCUUUUGAAUUGCUCAUCACCUGCAUUCCACUCCUUGUCUCUGUCUGUCUGUCUUCUACUCCACACAACCACAGCCAGACACAAUGACCAAGAACCGACGGCACGACAUCGUGAAGCCCUCCAAGUAUAAGACCUCCAUGUGCACGUUCUUUCGCAGCGAGGAGGGCUGCCCGUUCGGUGAGAAGUGCGCCUUCGCCCACGGAGAGGAUGAGCUGCGGCCGGAGCCGAAAGACACGGCCCCACUGCCGGAAGCGGCGACGGGAGAGGCAGUGACGGCUGCGGCGGCCACGUUGUUGACAUCCGAAUCGCCCCACUCGGAGCACUUUGAUACGAGAGCCGCUUCGGGAGAUGGGCAGCACAACGAUGCACCAGCACAGCAGCUGCAGCACGAACCAUCUGCUUCCACGCCCGCCAUCGCAGGAGCGAAGCGGAAGACAAAGAAAGGAAGUUUGGAUUCGUCUUCGGCAUCAACUGGAAGCGCUCACGGCUUUCCUGGCGGCGGCCCCGGUGGCAGCGGCAGCGGCAGCGGCAGCGCAGCCAGAGGAGACGCUCCCACCACUCGAGGGCGCGCCUUGCCGAAUCGCCGUCAGCAGCUACCCCCGCCGCCUCUGCCGGGGCACGGGGCAAUGCCGUCGACCACGUUUGGCCUCACUGCUCCCCCACCGCCGCUCCCGCAACCGACGCCUCCUUCAUUUGGCCUUUCCGGUGACUUCGGCGGCCUCGCGUACGCGGGCAUGCCGGCGGUGAUGCCGGGGAUGCCCUAUUACAUCCCUGCGAUGGGCCACCAUCCGUUCUCCGCCAUCAAUAAUAAUCAGCACGCCCUCAAUGCGGCCCCUGUAAUGCACGGCUCUACGUCGUACCCGACCUUGCAACAUGCCAUGCAGCUACCACCACCACCACCGCCGCCACUGGCGACCGCGUCAAGCUCCUCUGCGCCGCUAAGUGUGACAAGACGGACCAACGGCGUCGCCGCUGCCGAUGCGCUGCCGAGCGAUGAUGCGAAGCACCGCCUGCGUCAGCCUACGCGACACGUGGUGAGUAGCAAUACCAUGGCACACAGCACCGGCCGACACCCAAUCAACGCAUCGGCGACGGCGCCGGAUGACGUGGCCACGCCGCAGUACCUCUACAACCUCAUGGCCGCAGCCGGUGCACUCCUUAACUCCUCUCCGGAACUGGCGAGCAACAGUCAACCGAACCCUAGCGUUGAGCAGCCGGCGCAGCCUCGCCUGAUUGUGGUUCCCCACCCUUCAGGCUCGGGUGUCUGCAUGGUGCCGAGCACCGUCAUGAGCUACCCACACUCAGACCCUCAGAGCUUCGCGGCCUUUGGCGGUGUUGCUGCAGCUUCCUCACCACGCCACUCAACGGCGUCGAUGCCAGGCAGUAGCGACAGCGGCCUUCGUAGCCCGCAUCCCACGCCGACGACGACGGCCAGCAACAGCGCGGCUGCAGCGCAGUUUCCUCCGCCGGACUUCGUGGCAGCGACGCCGGCGCCGGUGACUGUUGAGCAACUCCCACUGAGCAGUACGAGCCAUGGCCAGAGCGGCAGCGGCAGCCGCAGCAGCAAGGUGAUGGGCGACAGCCUGUGGGGCCCGGCGGAGGGGACCAUGAACCCCCUUACCUCGUCCCUGGCCAGCCGCUCCGGCGCUAACACUUCGUCUACUGAAGAACACGGCAGCAGUUCAGGGGACUAUAAUGCCAUCUUGUCAGGCCUCGGCAUCGGUGGCUCUUCGUACACAACCAUCCCCCUUGACCGGCUCAUGCGCCAGUGCAGCGCUAGCAGUAAUGAGGACGACUUCGUGGGAGGAGACUUUGACUGGACAGGCGCGGUGGAGCGCUGGCUGCAGACGGCUCGCGAGGAUGGCAUGGCGCCCGAGACGGCGCCGGCUAAUGCCGACGAUACGCCGACCACCGCCGCUGCGGCCGUAGCGACGGCUGAGAAAACCACCGCCUCCACUCCUGGGGCGACACUCGCUGCGGCGAAGAACUUGGAAACGGUAGCUGAAACUUACCACCUGCAGAGCGGCUGCUCCGUUAUGGCUGCACUGAACAGCAAUCCAGUCCUCGUGGACAUGGGAAUAGAGAGCACCGAGGCCAACGCGUCCUUGCCAGCGCCGGGGUCGUCAGCGACGGAGGCGAAGCGCAGACCGAUCGCCGCGGUGUGCCAGGUGUCACGGGCGGCGGGUGGCAAGCCUUCGCAACCGCAGCGCCGCGCUCCCGUCACGAAGAACCAGUUCAAGAGCUCGUGCGCGGCAGAGGCGGACUCCGGCGCGGUGCUGCUCUACUGCGCUGAGAAGAAUACAUUUGUGUACAUUCCCUCUGGUGGCUCAGGAGCGGCUGUGGCGGUGACCCCAGGCAGGCGUCGUGGGCAAGCUGCUGCGGCUGCUGCGACGACGACAGGUAGUGUUGCGCUGCCCCAGAGCGAGGAGAAGUGGCCCGCUACGACUGUAAAGGCCGUGCCGGCGCUCGGUCGAUCCCAGGAUAGCCUCAACACGCCUUGCUGCGACGGCAGCCUCGGCAUCGAUGUGCGCUUCGUCCCUGGUCGCAAGAAGCGCUCCGUGCUGGAGGAAGUGACCGAGGAAGAAGCGGAAUAUUGCAUCUAGGGCCUGCGUGCGUGUGGGCAUGUGCCGUUCCGUGCCAUACUGUGCAGUGCUGCACCUUCAACGCUGCGGUGGACAGCGAUGGGUGUGAGCAACAAAAAUAACAAGGAGAGCACGAAAAGAGCGGUGUGGCCGGCUGGCGCGUCCAUUGCACCUUUUGCAUAGACGGUGACUGAUGCGUGCGCGCCUGCGCACAUCCAUACCGACACAGACGUUCACACGCCCGCAUGCAACAAGACUGCCCGCCACUAACGGAGCUCACGGCAACGGCAGCUGGAUGCGCUGAGCAGCUCAUAUUUGUACUUCCAUGCCUUUUCUCCGUACUCUCAAUCUCAGAGAACGCAGGAGGCGGGAGGCGGACUGUGAGCCCGAUGGCGGCUGCUUACUGCGAGUGUGAGCCGUAGUGUGGAGGCGUUGGGGCGAGAGUGGCGAGGAGGUGAGAGGCAGAGUGCUGGAUUGCUCACACGGAACGGCGCCGCUGCUCUCCUUUUCAAUCGCUCGAUUUCCUUGCCUGCGCCUGGCUCUGACAUCUCCGUCCACGCCCACACCUUGGUCUGCCUUGCAGACGUGACCGCACACUUGCAUGCACGUGUAGACGCAUACGUGUCAGUGUACGGCUGCCGCUUCGCGCGCUCUCUCCUCUCUCGCUCUCCUCCGCGUGUCCGUUACACAGCCGGUGCUCUGGUAUAGUUGCUGCGCUUGUUGUUUCUGACGUUGUGGCAGCACCAGUGCACGAGUCCCCACCCCUCGACCUAUGUUCUAGGUUUGUGUGCUUCGGCAUCUUCGCCCUUCAAACCAUUUCUUUUCCUUCUCCGGUGUUGCUGUUGAGUGCCUUUUCUCACUUCUUUUCGUUUGUUGGAUGGUGGAUGAGCGUACAUGUAUGUGUAUGCGUGCAUCUAUGCGGGUGUGUGUAUAGGUGUGUGUGUGCGUGCGUGUGCGUGCGUGCAUGCAACUAUUCCACCUCAGCCCCUUUCCUCGCCUCCUACUCAUCCCUGUAUGCGUGUGCUUGUCGGCCUCUCUCUGUCUACAUCACAGAAGCGUCUCUUGAAGAGAAAGUGCCCUAUACUGUUUUCAUCGCCUCCAGCUUCGUACGGUGACAUUGCUCUCCCUGUCGCUUGCUGCUGCUUUAGCCCACUGAACUACUGCCCUAGUUCCAGCUCGCGUAAUCGAUGUCAGUGAUGAUGAUCGCGGCGCAUAAAAGGUCGCCAUGAUGGCAGUGGCCGCUGAAUGAACGGUAAUCCAGUCUACGCCUCUGUUGACUUCACGACUGCCCCACACGCAUGCAC
rnacentral:misc_RNA from 1 species